UUCUCCUGUGUUGCAGAAGGGGCUUAAGGACUGUGAGCGAAAACUUGAAUGGGAAAUCGAAAUGCUGCAGACACAAACUUGAUGGCACAUUUCUGAGCUUCAAAUACUGUCAUCACACAAGCAACUCUUAUCCAUCACCUGCAAAACACAGAGCAGGAAUGCUGUGCCUACCAUUUACAAAAGGCAAAUCCAUCAGAGAAAACAAAAGAAAGUGUCUGUUUGAUUGAUCUAGCUGAACAAGAAACCACAAAUUUACAACAGGGACAAAGGUCAACAAAACUUGGAAAGCAAGACUUCCGCUGGCUUCAGCUUGUUAUCUCAGUAUUCUGCUGCAGCUCGAAGAAUCACAUCUCAUUGAAUUUCAGGAUCCUAAUUUGUAAUAAACAGAGAGCUGUAAAAAUAAUUCCACACAAUUACAGAGGAAAUACUCUUGCCCUUGUUGGUUACUUGAUAAUACUUCUCCUGCUGUGAAACAAUGCCAAGUGUUCUGUCUGAGACAAUUUAAUUGCAGCACUUUGCAGACUCAUGAAAUAACAGCCCAAUUUAGUGUGCCAAGUUUAUGUUGCAGUGACAACUUGGUGGAAUUCAUAACCAACUCUGAGCCCAUGCACUUGAUAAAUAAGGCUAUAAAAAUUACAAAUACUGAAACUAUAGGAAUAAAAAUUUGGAAAUAGUCUCACACAAAACAAAGAACAAUGGAUGCUGGAGAUCUGGAACCGAAGCAAAUUGUUGGUGAAAUUCAGCAAAGGUCACAACAUCAGUGGAGAGAAAGCAGACACAACAUUUCGAAUCAAAGCUGUUGUCAGAAAUAGUCUGGAGGUUCCAAUCAGC